rnacentral:rRNA from 1 species
GAAACUGUGGAUGUGCGUUUAUGCACGUGGUAGGAGAGCGUUCUAGCGGCGGUGAAGCAUGACUGAGAAGACAUGUGGAGCUUCUAGAAGUGAGAAUGCCGGUAUGAGUAACGAAAGACAGGUGAGAAUCCUGUCCGCCGCAAGACUAAGGUUUCCUGGGGCAGGCUCGUCCGCCCAGGGUAAGUCGGGACCUAAGGCGAGGCCGAGAGGCGUAGUCGAUGGACAACAGGUUGAAAUUCCUGUACUGCACCGAAUCGUUAUGAGCGAUGGAGGGACGCAGGAGGCUAGCAGCGCGUGGUGCUGGAUACCACGUUCAAGCGUCAAGUCUGAGAGCGAGUCAAAUGCUUGCUCUCAUAAGGACAAGGCGUGAUGAGGAGCGAAAUUAAAGUAGCGAAGGCUGCGACGUCACACUGCCGAGAAAAGCUUCUAGCCAGAGACGGUGCACCCGUACCGCAAACCGACACAGGUAGUCGAGGAGAGUAUCCUCAGGUGAGCGAGAGAACUCUCGUUAAGGAACUCGGCAAAAUGGCCCCGUAACUUCGGGAGAAGGGGCGCUGGUCGCAAGAUCAGCCGCAGUGAAAAGGCCCAAGCAACUGUUUAUCAAAAACACAGGCAUCUGCAAAAUCGUAAGAUGAAGUAUAGGUGCUGACACCUGCCCGGUGCUGGAAGGUUAAGAGGAGAGCUUAGCGCAAGCGAAGGUUUGAAUUGAAGCCCCAGUAAACGGCGGCCGUAACUAUAACGGUCCUAAGGUAGCGAAAUUCCUUGUCGGGUAAGUUCCGACCUGCACGAAAGGUGUAAUGAUUUGGGCACUGUCUCAACGAGAGACUCGGUGAAAUUAUAAUACCCGUGAAGAUGCGGGUUACCCGCGACAGGACGGAAAGACCCCAUGGAGCUUUACUGCAGUUUAAUAUUGGGUAUCUGUCAAGCAUGUACAGGAUAGGUAGGAGCCGGAGAAGAUAGGACGCCAGUCUUAUC